AGUUUUAUUUAAACCUUAAAUUUAAUCUGAUGUGUUCAGGUUUAAACUCAGGUUCAGUUAUUGAGUGAAAACACCAACAGACUCAGACAUUUAGAACAAACUAAGAGUCAGAUCAGCAGAAACAGAGAACACGGACAUGUCUGCUGUAACUGCGUCACUCUGCUCCACGCUGAUGUUUGUCCUGUUCGUCUCUGCAGACCAGAAAAACAUUGCAGCUGAGUCUGGACAGAACAUCACUCUG